UGGCGGCGUGGGUUAGGCAUGCAAGUCGAGCGAUCGUAGCAAUACGGGAGCGGCAAACGGGGUAGGAAUACAUCGGAACGUACCUUUUGGUUGAGAAUAGCGUUGGGAAACUGACGGUAAUACUCAAUAAAGUCGAGAGACCAAAGGUUUACUGCCGGAAGAGCGGCCGAUGCGAUAUUAGGUAGUUGGUGGGGUAAUGGCCUACCAAGCCUGAGAUGUCUAGGGGGUGUGAGAGCAUGGCCCCCACCACUGGGACUGAGAUACUGCCCAGACACCUACGGGUGGCUGCAGUCGAGGAUCUUCGUCAAUGGGCGGAAGCCUGAACGAGCGACGCCGCGUGCGGGAUGAAGGCCCUUGGGUUGUAAACCGC
rnacentral:rRNA from 1 species